GAUGAACGCCGGCGGUGUGCCUAAUACAUGCAAGUCGUACGCACUGGCCCAACUGAUUGAUGGUGCUUGCACCUGAUUGACGAUGGAUUACCAGUGAGUGGCGGACGGGGGAGUAACACGUAGGUAACCUGCCCCCGGAGCGGGGGAUAACAUUUGGAAACAGAUGCUAAUACCGCAUAACAACAAAAGCCACAUGGCUUUUGUUUGAAAGAUGGCUUUGGCUAUCACUCUGGGAUGGACCUGCGGUGCAUUAGCUAGUUGGUAAGGUAACGGCUUACCAAGGCGAUGAUGCAUAGCCGAGUUGAGAGACUGAUCGGCCACAAUGGAACUGAGACACGGUCCAU
rnacentral:rRNA from 1 species